AUUACCAACUUUUGACGUUGACAUAAUAUUUGCAUUGAAACUUCACUUACUCCAGUUUGCUGUUCAGCAUUAAAAAUAAAACUUAACCAAAGAAAAUAAUUUCUCCGAGAAAUUCCGUGGGAGAGCUGUUCUGCUGCCGUAGCGAUGCCACACGCUGAUUAAGCUGCUGACUACGAAAAAACGAUGAAAACGAAAAAAUGUUGACAAGGAUUAAAACGAUGACAACUAUGACAACGAUUAAAUAAUUGACAAAAACCUUAAAAAGAUGACCAAAACAAAAGGUUGACAAACAUCAAAGUGUCAACAACAUUGAACAAGAAUUGAACAAGAGACAUCAUUGACAAUCAAAAAUCAAAAAAAGUUAAGUAUGCUUUUAUUUUGAAAGGAUUUACGGAACAUUUGUGUUGUAAAUUGCUAAACUGUAUAAUAGUCUUACUACCUAUGAAAUUAUUUAGUCAGAACCAGAAAUCUUGCUAUGAAAGGUAAUAAAUUGCGCUGGGGCUUUUAUUUUGAAAGAUUUAUUCUCAGCCGAGACAUCAGUGACGCUGCAGCAGAGAGACCCCGCGGUCCGCGUUCCGCAUUCGCUACGCGGACACAACGAGACCGCUUGGCACAUGAAGACGUUGACUUAGGGACCGUCGAUAAAUUAUUUGGAUUUUCAAGAAAAUUAAAGGUGCCUGCAAAUGCAAAAUUCACUUUUUGGACAUUCUGGUACGUUUAUUUGACUACCUGGGUCACAUAAAGACACUCCUGGUGUGUUUGAAGUAUGUCCCCUACUUAUUUCACAUUUUUGAGAGUUUAUUUAAUCCGGUUGAAGAACCAUUGUUUCAAAUUUGGCGGACUGGAUACGUCUGCAUUCGCUUGACAACUCACAGAACCAGCUUUGGCCCGCCCAGACAAACCUGGACCCCUAAAUGUACCUGAAACAUUUCGUUUCAAUCACUCUCCGUGCGCGCUAGCAUAGUAGGUGGCGCUAAUGCACCUUUCAGUUGGUUGCCACCCGCCAUUUAAAAGACAAAAGAAGAAGAAGUCACUCAGGUUGAAGAAGCGCCCACUUGCUGCUUCCCCAAACGUUGACGCAUGUCAGCUACCGAAAGGCAAGGAGGUCGCUUCUCAAACUGACGCCACUGCAGGCUGUGGACACGCUGCUACCUUGUAGAAGAGUUGUUGCUCACCUCAGGAGCAAAGAGUGGUGUCAAGGAAAACAGCUGCAUUCUCCAUCUGUACAGCAGCUGCACUGCUUCCGAUGUCUUCCGACACGUGAAGACAAAAAAUAUCCUCACAUCACCCCAGCCAACUGCCCAUGACUGUACCUGUUCCACUCCAGAAACUAUGCUUUUAACAUAACUAUGAAUCCUACUCGUUCAUUUUGUGGUCGGCAAAUUAAACUGUGGCGGUAACUUAUCCAGCAUUAUAGUGCUGGUGCAUUAGUUGAAAAUAAAGUUGGCUUUGACUAUU